rnacentral:rRNA from 1 species
UACAGAGGGGGCAAGCGUUGUUCGGAAUUACUGGGCGUAAAGGGCGCGUAGGCGGCCUGCUAAGUCGAACGUGAAAUCCCUGGGCUCAACCCAGGAACUGCAUUCGAGACUGCAUUGCUAGAGUAUGGGAGAGGGAAGUGGAAUUUCCGGUGUAGCGGUGAAAUGCGUAGAUAUCGGAAGGAACAUCAGUGGCGAAAGCGGCGCGCUGGACCUCUUCUGACGCUGAGGCGCGAAAGCCAGGGGAGCAAACGGG